UAGUAAAAAACCACGCUGUAAACGAUGGAUACUAGGUUUUGGGGGUCUCAACCCCUUCAGAGCCGUAGCUAACGCGUUAAGUAUCCCGCCUGGGGAGUACGAUCGCAAGGUUGAAACUCAAAGGAAUUGACGGGUUCCCGCACAAGCGGUGGAGCAUGUGCUUUAAUUCGAGGCAACGCGAAGAACCUUACCUGGGCUUGACAUGGGAGCUCUCUCUUCGGAGAGGGUUAGCUAUGUGAAAGCAUGGUUAGUCCACACAGGUGUUGCAUGGCUGUCGUCAGCUCGUGUCGUGAGAUGUUCGGUUAAGUCCGGCAACGAGCGCAACCCUCGCUGUCAGUUACCAACGGGUAAUGCCGGGGACUCUGACAGGACUGCCGGUAAUAAACCGGGAGGAAGGCGGGGAUGACGUCAAGUCAUUAUGACCCUUACGCCCAGGGGCUAGACACGUGCUACAAUGGUCGGUACAAUGAGCAGCGAGACCGCGAGGGUGGGAGC
rnacentral:rRNA from 1 species